GCAUUGGUGGUGUAUGGUGCACGGCUCCUUUGAAUUAAUAUGCACAGGACCAUAAGGAGCCAGCCGGGGUUCGACUCCCCGCCAAUGCA